rnacentral:rRNA from 1 species
AGUGAACGCUGGCGGUAGGCCCAACACAUGCAAGUCGAACGGCAGCACAGUAUUAUCUUGCUCUUACGUGUGGCUAGUGGCGUACGGUUGCGUUAUACAUCUGAAUCUACUUUUUCUUUUGUGUUCACGUAGGUAUACUUACGCUAAUACCUCAUACGUCCUUCUUUUUUAAGCAUUUGUUCUUCUGACCUUUCUCUAUUUUAUUUGCCGAUGUCGGAUUAGCUAGUUGGCGGGGUAAAGGCCCACCAAGGCCACGAUCCGUAGCUGGUCUAAGAGGAUGAUCAGCCACACUGGAACUGAGACACGGUCCAGACUCCUACGGGAGGCAGCAGUGGGGAAUAUUGGACAAUGGGCGAAAGCCUGAUCCAGCCAUACCGCGUGGGUGAAGAAGGCCUUCGGGUUGUAAAGCCCUUUUGUUGGGAAAGAAAAGAAGCAGGUUAAUACCCCGCUGUUCUGACGGUACCAAAAGAAUAAGCACCGGCUAACUUCGUG